CAGAUAUCCUGCCAGAAUACAAAAUUUAUUGCAAAUUCCAAUGGUCAACCCAACCAGACCUCUGAAUUGAGUUCCCUGCACAGCCCUCACUUUGAAGACGUAAGUGUUGGAUGCUGCGAAUGAUGGAUUAAAACCUCAUCUCAGGCCAGCAGCUCCAGAGAAUAUUGGACUAUUCAUCAUAAUAGUUACCUGAGUGGUGACCAGACAUCCUGUAGAGCUCAUCUUGAUAAGUAGUGCUCCCCAAAAUAAUUUGGAUCAUAACCCUCUAUUUCUUCAGUCUGGAAUGAAGCCAACAACUACCACCUGUCUGACAUCAUGCACCUUAGCUGCUCAGAUUUCCUGUUUUACCCUUUCUUCCACCUCCAUAUUGGGUCAUUAUAUGCUUUGUAGCACAUUUGAGUUGUCAUAAACUUUAUUUGACAUUUGACUGCACCAGGUCAUACUUUCUGCUCUUUCCCACAUGCCCAGGUAGUUAUUGUUGUUGCAUUAAAAAAAAAAAGAGAGAAAGAAGUUCCAAAUUAUUACAGUUCACAUAGUUAUCACAAGGUUAUUAUUUAAAAUAUUUAUCACAAGGUUAUUAUUUAAAAUAUUAAUCUGUAGAGUUCUGAUGUCUGCUAGCUACAGAAUUGAAUUAAAGAAUACACUUAGGAAAGAUUAUAGGGACCACCUUAUCCACCCAAACUCACCUUAGGCUUUGGCUCUUUCUACUGUUCCUAUGGAAACAGAUACAACACUAGCAAAGUUGGUGUCAAGUCCUUUAAUGUAAUUUUUCAUCACUAGUUAUUUUAAAGUAUCAGAUUUUAUUUUUCCCUGAUAGAGAUCAUUACCUUAUGUUGCAAAUUAACCAGUGCCCUCACUUUCAUAGAAAUCACAGUAUAGCUCAUUUAAAUGCAGGAUAUACGUGAAGCUAUUGCUUUAGAACAAUACAUAUUGAUUCUCUGGUUUAAAUGACAUCUGACUCACAGUUCUGACACUGAUUCCCACAGGUUGUUAAAAAGAUACCCCUGUAGAAACAGAAAGAGACAAAAAAUAUUCCAGCAAUAUUGAAAAUUAGGACUUAACCUUCAAAGUACCUGAAAUGAAUUUUUAUUAACAACUAGGCCAAAGAUUUGACUUCAGAAAAAUAAUCAUUUUUUUCUCAUGCCAUGUUCUAGAAAAAAAGCAAGUCAGUCUGGCCCUCUUUUAUCUUUUCUUAUUGCCUUUACCUAGUUCAGAAAUGCAAGAUGUCCUUUGUUACAAGACUGCUAUGGUUUUGUUUUGUUUUGAGGCAUCUAGAGCAAUCUCUUCCCAUUCUUCCAGUUAGGCAGAUACUAUGGCCCUGGACUAAGUGUCAGAAAGUUACCCUGUGUAUUCUAGGUAUAUACUUAUACAUUCCUUGUUGUGUGGUUGUGGAAUGGGAGAAAUGGAGAAGUUCUUGUUCUUCUUUGUAAUAAAGGUUUAGAAGGAAGAGUUCCUGUGGCAGCGGUAUCUUACCUUAGGGGGCUCGACCCAAGUGGAUGAAAAGUGGAAUGAAGGACAAUUCGCACUGUUGCCAUAUUCUCUGAAGCUGUGGCCUGAGAUUAGGUCUUAGUCCAUUCUCAGAGCCCAGCACUUGGAUGCUGUAAAGAGAGUAUAACUCACCAAUCAUAUUCUUGAGUCAGGUAUUGUAUCUGACUAAAUAGUAUGACAAAUAUCAGUAAAUCCCAUUUCUUCUGGAAACUUCAGUCAUUUUUUCUCUCUGCUGUCAAAUGAGAGGUUUGGAGUUAAGCAUUUGGAGUUGAGCAUUUCUCAUUCAGCACCCCCUCUCCCACCCCCCACCCAGCCUUUAACAUAUAAUUAUAUGCAGGGACAAUCAGUGGAGAGUCUCAUGCCAGGUGAGCCUCCUCUCCUCUUUUGUGGCAGACCUCAGAAAGCCUCUCACUUGCUUUCCUUGUACACCACCACCACUAUACACUCUAUCCCUUAGAAUAUUCACCUGCAAGCCUGGUUACAGAAUGUAGCACAUCCUCCUCAUCUCCCCACCAGAAACUCGAGAUGGCACCCACAUUCACCCACUGAAAAACAUUUAAGAUAUGGGUAAUUUUCCUCAUUUUUCUAUGUAAAUAGAGUGAUAAGCUGAAUAAAAGGAAUGGAUCAUCUGUAAAGUUUAAGAAUUAAAUUUCUAAGAUAUUGACCCUGGUCAAUUAAUUCAUACAUGAGUCUUAAUUUAUAAUGGUUGCUCUAUUUUAGUUCUGUUCAUAGGUAGAAAUACAAACCCUGAAGAAAGGACUUCCAGUGACACCCUCCCUGAACCUCUCCAUGCAGUUCCUUCUACUCAGCACUCAGCCUUAUUGCAGAGACCGACACAAUACUUAAGAGUCCUUCAGAUACCUACUCAUCUCAUGAAAGGAAUUUGCAUUGUGAGGUCUCUAUACCUGGGAUUCACAUCUCUGGUUCAGAAACAUCUAAGUUGCUUCUACCAGGUUCUUGUUUCUUUGGUCACAUCCACCCAGGGCUCCUCUGAUGUCAGCUAGUGGGACUACAUUUUGGAUAAAUUGUUAAGAAGUUAUCUGUUUUACACAGUAUUUUUUGUUGGUUUCAAAGGAAAAUAUUCACUGGAUUCUUAGAUCUGGUACUUGGUGGGAGCACAGACUCCAGAGAAAUCCCAUACACCUGACCGGGGUGGGGCACAAUCACCAAGCAAGUCCUAUGACAUGACCAUUUCUAGUGCUUCUGCUGCUUCUGCUAUGGAAUCUAUCAACGCCUAAAAGGUCACUUUGUGGUAACCACAAGAAUUAAAAAUAGAGUUGAAAGAGAGGCAGCACUGGCUACCCUGUGGUUAAAUAAAUGACAUUCAAAGAAUUUUCUUUUGGCCUUUUCAACUAUCCACCUUACCCUGUACCCCAGUAGUAAUGAACUUCCAGGGAUUAGGUUAAAGAAUCCACCCUUUUUAGUUAUCAGUGUUCCCUUGACAAAAAGAGAUAUAAGUAGAUAUAUUUCCCCACUGUGCUUGUCAGAUGUUAAAGCCUCUAACUGGAAAAGCGACAAAGGAAUGGAAGUCCCUCAUAGCCAACUUAUGCAUGUAUAUCUCUGGGUUUUAGCUCAGGCCAUAAAAUGUAGGAUCACUAAAUGAUUUGAAUUGCACAAAAGCACCCAUAACAUCAGUAAAACUGUUAUAUUUAUUACAGAUGUUUCAAAAAGCAAUGUUUUCAGAGCUAGCUUUUACACAAAAGGGAAAGACAGAGCUUAGAAACACUGGUAAAGUGAAUGUAUCAGGCUGAUGGAACACUUGCAGCCCUCCUCUCACUGACUCCUGGGACUUAUAACUCUCCCAACAACAGCAAAAAUGAUCUGAGCAAGACUUGGGGAUUGAAGUCCUCAAAUUCAGGAACUUAAUAUAAGUUACUGAAACCUAGCAAUUUACCAUUGCUUUUCAAAACUUAAUGAGUGACUUCAAAUAGUUCUGGGGUGUGUGUGUGUGUGUGUGUGUGUGUGUGUGUGUGUGUGUGUGGUGUGUGUUGGAACAGCUUUAUUAAGAUUUAAUUCAGAUAUUACAAAACUUACCCACUAAAGGUAUACAAUUUUUGUUUUUAAUAUAUACACAGAGUAUCUGAUUAUCAGUGCAUUCUAUUUUUAGAUCAUAUUCAUCACCCCUUCCCCCAAAACCAGAAUCCUUUAGCAGUCUCUCUUCGUCCUAUCUCCAGCCUAGCAAGUACUAACCUACUUUCUGUCUCUACAGAUUUGCCUGUUCUGGAAACUUCAUAUAAAUGGACUUAUGCAAUAUAUGUAUUUUUGUAUCUAGUUUCCAUCACAUAGUGUUUUCAAAGUUUAUAUUGUAGCAUGUAUCAGUACUCAUUCGUUUCCUGCUAUGGAUGAAUAAUAUUCCAUUGUGUAGAUGUGCCACUUUUAUUUAUCCACUCAUCAGUGGAUGGACAUUUGGGUUGUUUCCACUUCUUUUCUAUUAUGAAUAAUGUUACUCUGAAGAUUCACUUACAAGUUUUUAGGUGGAUGUAUUGUUUCAUUUCUCUUGAAUAAAUACUUAGGAGUAGAAUUAUUGGGUCAUAUGAUAAUAUUUAGUUCCUUAUCUUGAGGAAUUGUCAAACUUGUCUAAAAUUGUACCAGUAUACAUUCUUACCAACAGCAUUUGAGGGUUUCAAUUUCUCUACAUCCUCACCAACACUUGUAAUAAGUAACCUGGGGUUUUGUUGUUUUAUUAUUAUAGUUAGCCUAGUGGGUAUAAAGUGGUAUCCCCAGUAUAAUUUUGAUUUGCAUUUCCAUAACAGCUAAUGAAACCAAGUAUCUUUUCAUGUGCUAUUGGAUAUUUGUAUAUAUGUUAUGGAGAAAUAACUAUUCAUAUCCUUGCUCAUGUUUUAAUUGGGUUAUUUACAAUUAGUUCAAUUGCAAAGGUUUUUAUAUAUUCUGGAUACAUGUGCUGUGUAAAUGAUAAUAUGCUGUCCCAUUUUGUAGACUGUCUUUUCACUUUAUUGAUGGUAUUAUUUGUAACACAACCUUUUUGUUUGUUUGUUUGCUUGCUUGUUUAAUGAAGUUCAAUUUAUCUAUUU
rnacentral:lncRNA from 10 species